CCUACGGGAGGCAGCAGUAAGGAAUAUUGGACAAUGGUCGCAAGACUGAUCCAGCCAUGCCGCGUGCAGGAUGACAGCCCUAUGGGUCGUAAACUGCUUUUGUGCGAGAAAAAACCCCUCUACGUGUAGAGGGCUGAUUGUAUCGUAAGAAUAAGGAUCGGCUAACUCCGUGCCAGCAGCCGCGGUAAUACGGAGGAUCCAAGCGUCAUCCGGAUUCAUUGGGUUUAAAGGGUGCGUAGGCGGAAUGAUAAGUCAGUGGUGAAAUCCUGCAGCUUAACUGCAGAACUGCCAUUGAUACUGUCAAUCUUGAGUACAUUUGAUGUGGGCGGAAUGUGUCAUGUAGCGGUGAAAUGCUUAGAUAUGACACAGAACACCGAUUGCGAAGGCAGCUCACAAAACUGUAACUGACGCUGAGGCACGAAAGCGUGGGUAUCAAACAGGAUUAGAUACCCUGGUAGUCCACGCUGUAAACUAUNAUACUCGAUGUUGUGAUACACUAGUAAGCGUCGUAGACGAAGACGAGUAAGUAAGUACCACCGUACGGGUAGGUACGACGUCGCGAGAGUUAGAACGACAAAGUUAGAGUUAGGACGGCGUGAGAGUACGACGACGGACGGACCAACCGAACCGGGAAGGUAGG
rnacentral:rRNA from 1 species